GCCGAAGUAGUGUAGUGGUAACACGAGUGUUUUGGGAACAUUCAUGCAAGGUUCGAGUCCUUCUUCGGCG
rnacentral:tRNA from 1 species